GGAUAACCUUGCGAAAGUAAGACUAAUACCCAAUGACGUCUCUAGAAGACAUCUGAAGGAGAUUAAAGAUUUAUCGGUGAUGGAUGGGGAUGCGUCUGAUUAGCUUGUUGGCGGGGUAACGGCCCACCAAGGCGACGAUCAGUAGGGGUUCUGAGAGGAAGGUCCCCCACAUUGGAACUGAGACACGGUCCAAACUCCUACGGGAGGCAGCAGUGAGGAAUAUUGGUCAAUGGACGAGAGUCUGAACCAGCCAAGUAGCGUGCAGGAUGACGGCCCUAUGGGUUGUAAACUGCUUUUAUAAGGGAAUAAAGUGAGUCUCGUGAGACUUUUUGCAUGUACCUUAUGAAUAAGGACCGGCUAAUUCCGUGCCAGCAGCCGCGGUAAUACGGAAGGUCCGGGCGUUAUCCGGAUUUAUUGGGUUUAAAGGGAGCGUAGGCCGGAGAUUAAGCGUGCUGUGAAAUGUAGACGCUCAACGUCUGCACUGCAGCGCGAACUGGUUUCCUUGAGUACGCACAAAGUGGGCGGAAUUCGUGGUGUAGCGGUGAAAUGCUUAGAUAUCACGAAGAACUCCGAUUGCGAAGGCAGCUCACUGGAGCGCAACUGACGCUGAAGCUCGAAAGUGCGGGUAUCGAACAGGAUUAGAUACCCUGGUAGUCCGCACGGUAAACGAUGGAUGCCCGCUGUUGGUCUGAAUAGGUCAGCGGCCAAG
rnacentral:rRNA from 1 species